CCGAUCAGAGCCAGAGCCUGUCUGGACCUGAGAGCUCUCUCUCAGCAUCAACUCUACUGCAGGCUGAUGAUCCAGUUGAACCCAGCGAUGUGACUUAUGCUGAAAUUGAACUGAAAGCCAAGAAGAAGGAAAAGAAAAAGCAAGACAGGGACUGUUUGCUUAAAGGGAAGACCACCGCAGAUGCAGAUACUGUCUACUCAGAACUGAAGCAGAAUACAGACAAAGGUCCUUGAAGAAAGCUGGUGUUGUUGCAGUUCUCAGAAGUAAUCAUUUGCAGUAACUGUUCAUUUGAGAUUUUAAGGAAUACAGAAAGAAGAGGACACAAUUUAAACAUAUUUAUCUGUUGGAUUUGUCUUUAAAGGAAUUCUGCAAUUAUUCUAUAUUGUUGAAAUGAAAAAGUCUUAUUUACUGAUUUGUAACUAAACCAUUUUGAUGUUGAAAAUAAUUCAUUGUAUUGCGUUUGUUGAGCUCUACUUUUUUUUAACCAGGUUAACUUUUCAGCCAUGUCAAUCAUUCUUAUACAAGAGCCUCACUGGCAUACAUUUCAUUAGAGUUUUGGGUCAAACAGGAUUAAACACUCUCUGGUCAGCAGAGGUGAGCAGUAACUGGUUCCAUUUAUUCAGUUGUGCUUAAUUAAUAUAUUUGUACUUUUCUGAGUAUUUUCAAAUGAUAAUAGCUUUUUACU